rnacentral:misc_RNA from 1 species
UUUUCUCUCUGAAGAAGUCUAACAAUACGAUGUCUGCCUUAGAUAUCAGGCGAUGAUUCGAUGGUCCUUUUACGAGCUUAAGAAGUUCGUGAGCCCUUAUUUCUUCUUUACCAUCACUGAACAUGUUGCUGUGGGCUGACAAUGAAUAAACUUUUACAGGGGACUUAAGGGUUUCAUCCUCUAACCCUGCCAAUUCCAUUUGAUUUUCCAAGUUCGGUGGAUUUACCUGAGCAAGGCUCUCAAACCUUCUGAUCUUUGCCAUAAAUUUCUGGUGGGCUCCUUCCAUGCGGACAAGACUACGCUGGGAAGCAGAGCUAUUCUCUUCUUCAUCUUCGUAUGGACAGUCCAGCAUAGACACUGGACUAAAUUGCUCUUUGACCACCUCAGUAGGCCACUCCUUUGUGUUUUUUUCCACCGAGACGGUGAUGGAAUCCUGACCGCCUGUUACGCCUACUCCCUUGCUGGCAAUCUUCUCGCUGGGUAAACCUUUCAGCCCUUCUGCAGCGGCGUUUUGGUUGAUGUAAUUGUAACUCUCUGAAUUACCGCUGUGACCAGUAAAUUCGCUGUCAGUCCAACUAGGACUGUUGCUGUUGCUGUUGCUGUUCCUGCUUGAACUCGAUGAGAGUCUGCUGUUGGUAAACGCGGUUGUAACGCGGGAGGUGGAGUUGCGAUUUAUGUUGUGAUCGAAUGGUUCAUGUCUUUCCUGGAGGAACUCAUGGAACAAUCUCCACCGUUGUUUCUCGCUGCCUUCUCUUUCUUUUUGAUCAGCUUUCAUCCAGAAGCUUUUCUCGAACAGCUUCCCCGAAAAGCUUCGGGGCAGAAGAAAUCCUCCUUUUCUGCUUCUGUUGUGUAGGAACGGAGAUGAAGAUUUCAUGGAGGAAGAAGAUGAGGAAGGAAAAGAAAGCAGCUUAACAGCAUUAAUGACGGCCUCCGAUGCCUUUUGAAGAGCAGAUAUUGUCGUAGAAGAUGAUCUGCUUCUUUUAAAAAACUGCCGACGUUGAUGUUUGGUGUUGGUAUUGAGAUCGAUCUCGAGUAGAAAUCGGACGGUGGUGCAGCAUUGUCGGCGGGGAAAGGAUUUGAAGCCAUUGGAGGAACAGGAGCUGAGAUCAUCCCUAAGGUAAUCCUUGAGCAUCAAAGGCUUUUUCCCAAUCAAGAAAGGUUUUUUAUUAGAGGAACUGAUGAUAGAAGCCAUGUUAUUUCGAAAUUUAAGAAGAUAAAAGAACAAUAGCAAUUUAAAUUAAGAGCGAAUGGCGAAGCGAAGUAAAGGGAAACGAAAUGAUGAGAAAAUGCAGAGAUUGUGAAGAAAAGAAACAGGGAGGCAUUUAUAAAACAGGAAGGGUAGCUUUUUAGUACAAACACUAAAAACUUAAAAGAGGGAGAAAGAGAAAAAAUUAUCAGAAAGAGCGAAGCAAGGGAUAGAGAAGGGAACUGAAGUGAAAUGAAGAAAUAGGAUCCAAAGGUGAAGAUCUCAAGGAGGGCGAACAGAGAGUUACAGGAUUGCGGAGAGGUGGAAGAAGCCGGG